rnacentral:rRNA from 1 species
UACGUAGGGUGCAAGCGUUGUCCGGAAUUAUUGGGCGUAAAGGGCUCGUAGGCGGUCUGUCACGUCGGGAGUGAAAACUCGGGGCUUAACCCCGAGCCUGCUUCCGAUACGGGCAGACUAGAGGUAUGCAGGGGAGAAUGGAAUUCCUGGUGUAGCGGUGAAAUGCGCAGAUAUCAGGAGGAACACCGGUGGCGAAGGCGGGUUCUCUGGGCCACUACUGACGCUGAGAAGCGAAAGCAUGGGGAGCGAACAGG